rnacentral:rRNA from 1 species
AUUGAACGCUGGCGGCAGGCCUAACACAUGCAAGUCGAACGAGUGGCGGACGGGUGAGUAUUGUCUGGGAACCUGCCCGAUGGAGGGGGAUAACUACUUGAAACGGUAGCUAAUACCGCAUACCAUCUAAUGUGCCCAGAUGGGAUUCGCUAGUUGGUGGGGUAAGGGCUCACCUAGGCGACCAUCCCUAGCUGGUCUGAGAGGAUGACCAGCCACACUGGAACUGAGACACGGUCCAGACGCCUACGGGAGGCAGGAGUGGGGAAUAUUGCACAAUGGGCGCAAGCCUGAUGCAGCCAUGCCGCGUGUAUGAAGAAGGCCUUCGGGUUGUAAAGUACUUUCAGCGAGGAGGCGUUACUCGCAGAAGAAGCACCGGCUAACUCCGUGCCAGCAGCCGCGGUAAUAC